AAAGCUAGAUUUUAGUUCAACGAGAUGAUUUCUUGUGAGGUAAAAACCCUGACUUCAUGUUGAAAAUUGAGAGGGUUCUCAAAAAAAACUUUUUUUUUUAAGGCCUCCCCUACAAAAUUGUACCUACACAUUCCAACCUGAUUUUCAGAGUCACA